GGCUGUGAGAGCGACCUAACUGCAACAUCUAUCACCCCAUUGGUCACUAGGGUUGAUUUGGUUAAUCUGGCUGGUUAGGUGGGUGUUUCCUUCCUCCAUUACAACUCCAUGUGGUGAGGAAUAAAAGUGAGGAAUACGCCCUUGAUUGCUUGGCCUUUUUGUUUAAA